UUUCCGUAGGUGAACCUGCAGAAGGAUCAUUGUCGUGACCCUGACCAAAACAGACCGCGCACGCGUCAUCCAAUCCACCGGCGACGGUACCGUCCGUCGCUCAGCCAAGUCCUGGGGGCUCGGGGUAAAAGAACCCACGGUGCCGAAGGCGUCAAGGAACACUGUGCCUAACCCGGGGGCAUGGCUAGCUUGCUAGUCGUCCCCAGUGUUGCAAAGCUAUUUAAUUCACACGACUCUCGGCAACGGAUAUCUCGGCUCUC
rnacentral:misc_RNA from 1 species